UGCCAGCCGCCGCGGUAAUACGGAGGGAGCUAUCGUUGUUCGGAAUUACUGGGCGUAAAGCGCGCGUAGGCGGUUAUCCAAGUCAGGGGUGAAAUCCCGGGGCUCAACCCCGGAAGUGCAUUGGAAACUGGCGAACUUGAGUACGGGAGAGGAAAGUGGAAUUCCGAGUGUAGGGGUGAAAUCCGUAGAUAUUCGGAGGAACACCAGUGGCGAAGGCGGCUUUCUGGACCGAUACUGACGCUGAGACGCGAAAGCGUGGGGAGCAAACAGGAUUAGAUA
rnacentral:rRNA from 1 species